rnacentral:rRNA from 1 species
GACGAACGCUGGCGGCGUGCUUAACACAUGCAAGUCGAACGGAAAGGCCCUGCUUUUGUGGGGUGCUCGAGUGGCGAACGGGUCAGUAACACGUGAGUAACCUGCCCUUGACUUUGGGAUAACUUCAGGAAACUGGGGCUAAUACCGGAUAGGAGCUCCUGCUGCAUGGUGGGGGUUGGAAAGUUUCGGCGGUUGGGGAUGGACUCGCGGCUUAUCAGCUUGUUGGUGGGGUAGUGGCUUACCAAGGCUUUGACGGGUAGCCGGCCUGAGAGGGUGACCGGCCACAUUGGGACUGAGAUACGGCCCAGACUCCUACGGGAGGCAGCAGUGGGGAAUAAUGCACAAUGGGCGGAAGCCUGAUGCAGCAACGCCGCGUGCGGGAUGACGGCCUUCGGGUUGUAAACCGCUUUCGCCUGUGACGAAGCGUGAGUGACGGUAAUGGGUAAAGAAGCACCGGCUAACUACGUG